rnacentral:rRNA from 1 species
CCUACGGGCGGCAGCAGUAGGGAAUCUUCCACAAUGGGCGAAAGCCUGAUGGAGCAACGCCGCGUGGGUGAAGAAGGUCUUCGGAUCGUAAAACCCUGUUGUUAGAGAAGAAAGUGCGUGAGAGUAACUGUUCACGUUUCGACGGUAUCUAACCAGAAAGCCACGGCUAACUACGUGACAGCAGCCGCGGUAAUACGUAGGUGGCAAGCGUUAUCCGGAUUGAUUGGGCGUAAGGGGAACGCAGGCGGGCUUUUAAGUCUGAUGGGAAAGCCUUCGGCUUAACCGGGGUAGUGCAUUGGAGACUGGGAGACUUGAGUGCAGAAGAGGAGAGGGGAACUCCAUGUGUAGCGGUGAAAUGCGUAGAUAUAUGGAAGAACACCAGUGGCGAAGGCGGCUCUCUGGUCUGUAACUGACGCUGAGGUUCGAAAGCGUGGGUAGCAAACAGGAUUAGAGACCCUAGUAGUC